rnacentral:pre_miRNA from 1 species
GGUUGUCAGAGGAGUUAGAAGUGGUCUGGUUGUCAGAGGAGUUAGAAGCCUCUGACAACCAGACCACUUCUAACUCCUCUGACAACCA